rnacentral:rRNA from 1 species
CUACGGGCGGCAGCAGUGAGGAAUAUUGCGCAAUGGGGGGAACCCUGAUGCAGCAACGCCGCGUGGAGGAUGACGCAUUUCGGUGUGUAAACUCCUUUUAUAUGUCAAGAAAAUGACGGUAGCAUAUGAAUAAGCACCGGCUAACUCCGUGCCAGCAGCCGCGGUAAUACGGAGGGUGCAAGCGUUACUCGGAAUCACUGGGCGUAAAGGACGCGUAGGCGGGUUGGAAAGUCAGGUGUGAAAUCCUACAGCUUAACUGUAGAACUGCACUUGAAACUUCUAAUCUAGAGUAUGGGAGGGGGAGAUGGAAUUAGUGGUGUAGGGGUAAAAUCCGUAGAUAUCACUAGGAAUACCUAAAGCGAAGGCGAUCUCCUGGAACAUUACUGACGCUAAGGCGUGAAAGCGUGGGGAGCAAACAGGAUUAGAUACCCGUGAGUC